rnacentral:rRNA from 1 species
AGUGAACGCUGGCGGUAGGCCUAACACAUGCAAGUCGAACGGCAGCACAGUAAGGGCUUGCUCUUACGGGUGGCGAGUGGCGGACGGGUGAGGAAUACAUCGGAAUCUACUUUUUCGUGGGGGAUAACGUAGGGAAACUUACGCUAAUGCCGCAUACGACCUACGGGUGAAAGCAGGGGAUCUUCGGACCUUGCGCGAUUGAAUGAGCCGAUGUCGGAUUAGCUAGUUGGCGGGGUAAAGGCCCACCAAGGCGACGAUCCGUAGCUGGUCUGAGAGGAUGAUCGGCCACACUGGAACUGAGACACGGUCCAGACUCCUACGGGAGGCAGCAGUGGGGAAUAUUGGACAAUGGGCGCAAGCCUGAUCCAGCCAUACCGCGUGGGUGAAGAAGGCCUUCGGGUUGUAAAGCCCUUUUGUUGGGAAAGAAAAGCAGCAGGUUAAUACCCCGCUGUUCUGACGGUACCCAAAGAAUAAGCACCGGCUAACUUCGUG